AUGGAGUACCUGCAAUCUUAUCACUGUUUACUCUGCUACUUUCUGCUGGCUCUUAGAGAUCCUGCACUCUGUGCUAAAGAGAUCACUGUUAGCCCAGACAAACCCAUUGUCAAGCUGGGAGAUGCUGUGACCUUGAUCUGUGAGACAACCUGUCCCCAAGUCAAACCACGCUGGAUGGAACUAGACGAGAGCGAUGUCAUUCAGAAUACCACAAACAACAGAAGUUAUCUACAUAUUGCAGCUGUACAGCUGAAUCACGAGGGAAAGUAUACCUGCACAGCAGCAAAAUGUAGCAAACAGAAGAAGGAAACAAUCCAGCUCAGAGUUUACUCUUUCCCGGUGCCUGUCCUGUCCACGGUGCCAGAGAACCCUGUCUCUGGUCAACCUUUUGAGGUGAAAUGUACACUGACAAAAGUUUACCACAGAGAUGAUGACAACGUUGAGAUGCGUCUCUUCCACCUUGACAAGCUUGAAACAGAACACUCCAAAAACUGUACUGAUGACAGAUUUUGUGAUCACACGUGGUCUUCUAAGAAUCAGACGGGCACUAGCAAAACAGAUUAUCAGUGUGAAACCAAUCUUACUAUUGCCCCUAACAGCUUUACUGAAAAGGCUCGUCUUACCAUACAUUUCCAGGUUAAACCCAUGGAAGCACCAACGUCAGAACAUAUAAAUGAGGAAGGCGAAGGUCAAGGUGAUGCUGGUGAUGUCUAUAAUAAUCCCAGAAGCACUGCCACGUCUCCUGAACAGAUAGGAUCACAAACGUCAGAACCUGUCAACACGGAAGGCGAAGGUCAAGGUGAUGCUGGUGAUGUCUAUAAUAAUCCCAGAAGCACUGCCACGUCUCCUGAACAGAUAGGAUCACAAACGUCAGAACCUGUCAACACGGAAGGCGAAGGUCAAGCAGUGGAGGCCUCCAGCUCCACCACCACCACAGCCAUGGUUGCACUGGGCUCCACAGUGGGAUCCCUAUCCAUUCUCUGCUUGCUGGCUUACCUGAUCAAAUGGAGGAAACGCAAGUCAUCCCCCAGUUGUCCAGAGAACCAUCCUGAUGGCUGCUGA
rnacentral:lncRNA from 8 species